GACGAACGCUGGCGGCGUGCUUAACACAUGCAAGUCGAACGGAAAGGCCCUGCUUUUGUGGGGUGCUCGAGUGGCGAACGGGUGAGUAACACGUGAGUAACCUGCCCUUGACUUUGGGAUAACUUCAGGAAACUGGGGCUAAUACCGGAUAGGAGCUCCUGCUGCAUGGUGGGGGUUGGAAAGUUUCGGCGGUUGGGGAUGGACUCGCGGCUUAUCAGCUUGUUGGUGGGGUAGUGGCUUACCAAGGCUUUGACGGGUAGCCGGCCUGAGAGGGUGACCGGCCACAUUGGGACUGAGAUACGGCCCAGACUCCUACGGGAGGCAGCAGUGGGGAAUAUUGCACAAUGGGCGGAAGCCUGAUGCAGCAACGCCGCGUGCGGGAUGACGGCCUUCGGGUUGUAAACCGCUUUCGCCGGUGACGAAGCGUGAAUGACGGUAAUGGGUAAAGAAGCACCGGCUAACUACGUG
rnacentral:rRNA from 1 species